GUAAAGAGAAGCUUUCAGCUACAAGUUUACAUUUUGUUAGCCAUCGGAUUUUGUAAUCUGAUCUCGCAGAUAUUGAAAUUGACAGUAAAAAAGUAGAACUUUGAUGGGAUGAUUGCUGUGCGUUACCUUCUAAACCUGGAGCAAGUGAAGUGGAAGUAAUAUUCAAAGAGGAUUUUCAUAAAUUUGACUGAUCACUAACCAGUUUCACAUUCCCUGGACUGUAUACAGUUAAAAGGAUGGGUCUGGGCAAGGAACUGUUUGAGGGUCCACUGGAGGAUGACUUCCUGUGCGGGCUGUGCGGCCAAGUCCUCCUUAACCCUGUCACUGCCGGCUGCCAACAUGUCUUCUGUCAACAGUGCGUAAUACGCAAGAUGAAGUCACGUGUUACAAAACCCGUGUGUCCUGUGUGCAGCUUAAACCUUUCGCUCGACAUGAAAGACACUACUGUUGAAUUUAAGCUGAAAUUGCUUAAUCUGAAUGUUCGGUGCAACCAUAAAUGUGGGGAGUCGUUCGUUCUCGCGGAGUUACCAGACCACAUAGAGGCUUGUCCUAACGCCCCUGUCGAGUGUGACUUUAAGGGGCGAGGGUGUAAACGGACCAUAAAGCGCUGUGAUAAACGCAAGCACUCGGAUGAGUGUGACUUUCGGGAGGUGGAAUGUGAGGCUUGUGGACACAGGACUAUCUACAGGGAGCUGUGUACUCACCAGAGCAGAGUUCGGUGUCUGGAGAACAAGCUUAAGCAACAAAUUAUUCGAGAGAAGAAAGCCACGUCGCGAGAAAUCAUUCGACACAGAGAAAGACUUAUAAAGGACAACGCUAAACUCGACCAGCAACAACGAAAGAAAAUAUUAAGCCAUGCAAUAGCUCUGAGCUCAAGAAAACAUGGCCGUCAAUCUGUGAAUUUUGAUGAGAGCUUUUCGGAGGAGUAUGCUGAAACCGGAGCAGACGGGGUUUUCCUGACGGAAAAUACCAAUGACGAGUACAGCAGGCGGCACGUGCAAACAGACGAUAACCAGAACAUGACAGAUCUCAAGCGCAUGGCGACGAAGACUCCGCACUCUUCGCGUUCCGGGUUCGCCACACAAAUGUGCGCACAGUGUAACCGGAAGUUUAAACCCGACCAGAACACGUGCACAUCGUGUCGAUGGCACGUCGGCGUAAGUAGCAAACUAUGUUGAUUUUACCUGUUAAAUAGAAAUGUUCAUACUGGUUUGCUGAUAUAUUAUUUGAAGUUAGGACCAAACAAACUGAUGUCUUGGUCAUCGGAUUUUUCUAAAAAAAGAAGAGAGCGAGCGAAAAUGUAUAGACCAUUUUAGGAGCGAGCGAUGAAGAGAUAUUUGUUUAGUUUAUUUAUUAUUGAAAUGCAAUGAUUUCAUGCACAAAGCAAUUAAGUUCGUUUAAGUGUUGUAUGAAUAUUCAUAUUCCAAUAUAACUGCUUAAGUUUAAGAAGAUUGGUAAUAUUGAUGUUCCCCUGCACUUGUAUUAAUUUAACUGGGAAGCUAACAUUCCCUAAAUCAAUCAUAAUUGCCGAAUUUACAUAUUUUGUUUGCGUUUUCUAGAAGGAUUCACAAAUGCAUGGCUUAGAAAAACUAUCAUUUGUUCUAUAAAUUCAUCGCAUACUGGAUGAUGUAACCCCCUCCCACAUAAAGUACCGAUUUUUCCAUUAUGGACAAGCGUUUCCGAGUGUAAGGAUACAAUGCACUAAAAUGAUUGUUCUUACGCAAAUUAAACAUAAACAUACGGAUAUUUACCCGCACCAACAUUUUUAUUCGAAGAUUUUCUUUUUUUAGUGCGGGUGCAUAUAUCCAAUAUCUCUAUUUUUAAAAGGUAAAAACAAUCGGUGUCGUAAAUCCGAUGACAAAGACAUUUAGUGCGGCCUAAAAAUGUUAUUCUUACUUAUUUUCCCCCAUAAACCCAAAUUAUUCUUUUUGCAAAGUAAGUCUUACUUAUAAUCUAAAUACAUUGUUAUUAUUUAUUUAUUUUCAUGCGCUGACAGCCGAUGAUCGAAGUUUUCGUGAGUAUACUGGAUUGCUGUCAGAUAUCUAGAAUGUUCAAAUAAAAAACAGAUGAAAUUACUACUGCUGGAUACAUAAAU